AGCUGCGUGUUGAGCACAUAUCUAACUAUUCUUUCACCUUUUACUAAAGAAUACCAUGUGCUCAUUGCUUAUAAGCAACAUAUGCCAUUUUUUGGAGGGAACAACUUUUUAGGUCCA